CGUCGUUGCUUCAUCAGCUGGAGGACUAUAUGAGGGUGGUUCGCUGGCUUUUCUACGCCUGAGUGUUUGCCUACCGUGGUAGUGUUUACCUGGCCACUAUCUGCUGAAUUCUGGAAGCUCCACUUGUUUUUUUGAGACUUGAUUAAUUAUCCGUCUUGUUUCCUUCGUCAUAGGCUGUUCACGCCAAGCUGGGGUUUCCUCCUGAACCCACCUCCUGUCAAGACUGGAAUCUGCUGCUGCCCUCGCGAGUCCUCCAGCUGGAAGCGCAAUCUGUCCACCACUUUGUUACCUGGAACAUCAGAUCGCUCCAAUCGUUUCCGUGCAGGCACUACCGCAGACUUGAACCGGUUUCUCCCCCUGGCGGAUCAAUCGCCUUCCGGAAAUGUGUCUCCUGAUCGCUCUGCCCACCUCGUUCCUGAGUCGAAAAGAAAUAAAAGAAAAACUUAAUUUACUCUU